rnacentral:misc_RNA from 1 species
CCGAUUGGAUGCCUCCAAGGCUUCCAAUCACCCCCUCCUUACUUCUCACUAGCUGCUCCAGGGUCUGUUCUGUCUGUAACCAUCAUGCCAAGUCAUGCUGGCCUGUGGAAACCUCCAUUGGCAAAAUCCCCUUUGCUUCCCUUCAAGCACUGCCGUCUCCAACAGCUGCCAGUUGCUCAUCAGAAUAUCUGCCGCAGUCUGUACCUCGACUGACAACUUUGCCUUCGCUGCCCAUUAAGCCUUGCCUAUCGACUAGCUGAUCAAACUGCAGUCUGCUCCAGGGUUUGUCUAGCACACGGAGGCAAAGUUGCACCAGGGUCUGCUGUCAAACUGUUGCCGACCGGUAUAAGAAAGCCGUUGCGACACUGUCCAGAUUUGCCGACACAAAAGGACACAUGCUUACCUGGACAGUUUGACUAAGUUUGUUACUUUUGUGUCCUGCUCACCAUCACAAAAUCCAAAGCUUUUAUGAUUUUUGUGCAUUCAUGACAGUUUGCAAAGGCAACACAGCAUAAAUCAAUGCAUGAAAGCUGUAAGUGCUGCAUCUUGCAAAACAUACAAGCGAUUUUGCACUGCACACCAUCACUGUACAACUCCAUCU